rnacentral:rRNA from 1 species
UACGGGGGAGCAAGCGUUGUUCGGAUUUACUGGGCGUAAAGGGCGCGUAGGCGGCCACCGCAAGUCAGUUGUGAAAUCUCUGGGAUUAACCCAGAAAGGUCAACUGAUACUGCGGGGCUAGAGUGCAGAAGGGGCAACUGGAAUUCUCGGUGUAGCGGUGAAAUGCGUAGAUAUCGAGAGGAACACCUGCGGCGAAGGCGGGUUGCUGGGCUGACACUGACGCUGAGGCGCGAAAGCUAGGGGAGCGAACGGG